UGACAUUAGUCUUCCAAGUCAAUCGGUGCCUGUUAUGGCAUUAACAAUACAGGCUUCAUUCAAUGGAUUUGUUAAUCUGCUGAAAAAAAAAGAAAGAAAUCCUUGUCACUUCCUGUAUCUGUUUAUAUUCACUGUUACUCCAGAAGCAUCCAAGGAGAUAUCUUGUGUAUGUCCAUUUGCCACAUCUGGAGAAAGGAAAUGACAGUCCUGAGAAAUCGUUAUACAAAAUUCCAAACAUUGGGAACAACAGGACGGGCAGCAAUGCAGUGACUGCGAGGGGGAUGACCUCUGUACACCAGUACACAGCCAUG